rnacentral:rRNA from 1 species
CGGGACGGGUGAGUAAUGUCUGGGAAACUGCCUGAUGGGAGGGGAUAACUACUGGAAACGGUAGCUAAUACCGCAUAACGUCGCAAGACCAAAGAGGGGGACCUUCGGGCCUCUUGCCAUCGGAUGUGCCCAGAUGGGAUUAGCUAGUAGGUGGGGUAACGGCUCACCUAGGCGACGAUCCCUAGCUGGUCUGAGAGGAUGACCAGCCACACUGGAACUGAGACACGGUCCAG